rnacentral:rRNA from 1 species
AUUGAACGCUGGCGGCAUGCCUUACACAUGCAAGUCGAACGGCAGCACGGACUUCGGUCUGGUGGCGAGUGGCGAACGGGUGAGUAAUGUAUCGGAACGUACCUUUCAGUGGGGGAUAACGUAGCGAAAGUUACGCUAAUACCGCGUAUUCUGUGAGCAGGAAAGCAGGGGAUCGAAAGACCUUGCGCUGAUUGAGCGGCCGAUAUCAGAUUAGCUAGUUGGUGGGGUAAAGGCCUACCAAGGCGACGAUCUGUAGCGGGUCUGAGAGGAUGAUCCGCCACACUGGAACUGAGACACGGUCCAGACUCCUACGGGAGGCAGCAGUGGGGAAUUUUGGACAAUGGGGGCAACCCUGAUCCAGCCAUGCCGCGUGAGUGAAGAAGGCCUUCGGGUUGUAAAGCUCUUUCGGCCGGGAAGAAAUCGCAUAGGCUAAUACCCUGUGUGGAUGACGGUACCGGAAUAAGAAGCACCGGCUAACUACGUG